UGAACAGCCCUCUCCAGGCUCUGCUAGAGGGAAAGACCAGCACCAGCUCUUCCCUGGAGCCAGCUCCGAGCUCCAUACCUCCUGCUCCCUGAGAUGGUGACAACAUAGAAAAUACAACUCAUAAUACAGAACAACAGCUCUGCCUCAGCACAGCAGAGAACAGUGGGCCAUAGGAAAUGGGACACACUGAAGAAUGAAGUAUGUCUCCCUAAAUGCUGAGUGAGAACCAGCCCAUAGAUCCCAUGCUGGGUAGGCCUAUGUCUGCCUUCCAAAAGCCAUGAGAACCAACUGAUAAUCACCCUGAUUAAUUUCAAAUAUUAAGUAGAAAUUUGA